rnacentral:lncRNA from 1 species
AAUGGAGAAGUAAUGGAAGGGAUGAGCUGAUCAAGCAUGCUUAGCUUAAAUGGCUUCAAUUCGUGGGUUGCGCCUGGAAAUGGUCUGAUCUGCUGGACUGAGGUCAACGACACUUCCAUCUCCCCCAACCCCCUCUGUGGAAACUGGUAACUAAGAGCGUAUAUGCUUAAUUUGCUUGCUCAAGACAAAUUGCAUUCAUAUAUACACCAUAAGCAUCCCAAGUUUGUUCUUUGGCAAGUGUGACAAUGGUAACGGACACUUGCUCAUAUUCUAUGGCUAUUUGCAUUCUGCAGAGAUCCAGACUUGUGGAUCGUGGUCUACAGUUGAGAAUUAUUUGCCAACUGCAAAUGGGGAUGGGAGUCUGGAGUCAACGAGGUGGAAGCAAUUAUCAAAUUAUUAUGAAAAAGGAGAUUUACACAGUGUUCAAAAGUCAACUGUUGCAAGUCGUCGUCGUCAAUAUCAAUAAACUUUCCGAAAUAAUUUAACAUAUAAUUAAUUUAUUAGGAGUUUCUAUGAUAUGUGCCAUAACGAUCUUAAUUCAACUCUUUGUUGGAAUUUUAGAUUUCGUAAUUAGUGAUUAGGUUAAUUAGUAUAUCAGUUAAGAAUUGAUUCAAUA